AACUUGCUCCCUGAUGUUAGCGGCGGACGGGUGAGUAACACGUGGGUAACCUGCCUGUAAGACUGGGAUAACUCCGGGAAACCGGGGCUAAUACCGGAUGGUUGUUUGAACCGCAUGGUUCAGACAUAAAAGGUGGCUUCGGCUACCACUUACAGAUGGACCCGCGGCGCAUUAGCUAGUUGGUGAGGUAACGGCUCACCAAGGCGACGAUGCGUAGCCGACCUGAGAGGGUGAUCGGCCACACUGGGACUGAGACACGGCCCAGACUCCUACGGGAGGCAGCAGUAGGGAAUCUUCCGCAAUGGACGAAAGUCUGACGGAGCAACGCCGCGUGAGUGAUGAAGGUUUUCGGAUCGUAAAGCUCUGUUGUUAGGGAAGAACAAGUGCCGUUCAAAUAGGGCGGCACCUUGACGGUACCUAACCAGAAAGCCACGGCUAACUACGUGCCAGCAGCCGCGGUAAUACGUAGGUGGCAAGCGUUGUCCGGAAUUAUUGGGCGUAAAGGGCUCGCAGGCGGUUUCUUAAGUCUGAUGUGAAAGCCCCCGGCUCAGCCGGGGAUGGUCAUUGGAAACUGGAGA
rnacentral:rRNA from 1 species